AGUGAACGCUGGCGGUAGGCCUAACACAUGCAAGUCGAACGGCAGCACAGUAAGAGCUUGCUCUUACGGGUGGCGAGUGGCGGACGGGUGAGGAAUACAUCGGAAUCUACUUUUUCGUGGGGGAUAACGUAGGGAAACUUACGCUAAUACCGCAUACGACCUACGGGUGAAAGCAGGGGAUCUUCGGACCUUGCGCGAUUGAAUGAGCCGAUGUCGGAUUAGCUAGUUGGCGGGGUAAAGGCCCACCAAGGCGACGAUCCGUAGCUGGUCUGAGAGGAUGAUCAGCCACACUGGAACUGAGACACGGUCCAGACUACUACGGGAGGCAGCAGUGGGGAAUAUUGGACAAUUGGCGCAAGCCUGAUCCAGCAAUACCGCGUGGGUGAAGAAGGCCUUCGGGUUGUAAAGCCCUUUUGUUGGGAAAGAAAAGCAGCAGGUUAAUACCCCGCUGUUCUGACGGUACCCAAAGAAUAAGCACCGGCUAACUUCGUG
rnacentral:rRNA from 1 species